GCCCUCGUGGCGUAAUGGUAGCCGCAACAGACUUAAAAUCUGUUGGUCGCAAGGCCGUCCCGGUUCGAGUCCGGGCGAGGGCA
rnacentral:tRNA from 1 species